rnacentral:lncRNA from 1 species
GUGCAGGGCUGAGGUGAAAGUUUAGAUGCUCUGAUGUGAUGAGUGAGCAGAACUGGUGAGGCUGAGAAACUGAAGCAGUGCACAACAGAAUGCUUUUGACAUCUUGCUACAAAAGAAGAGGAAAGUUCUGAAGUGUCCUGACUCAAAGGUCCUGAUCCAUGCUUUCUACUUCCACCAGGACAACCUGUUCCAGCAUGGAGGGUUCUGCUUUCAACAUUUCAAACACAAUAAUGAAGUUAAGAGUCACUGUUAUUAGCUUCCAAUGGCCUUGCGAAAUCUGCUUCUAUGACGGAGGUGAUGAUGGCCGACUUGGCAAGAAGCUGCGGGGUUAUGCUCAAACCUUCAAAAACAGACCAGGGCUGAGGCCAUAGACAGACGGCACAGGUACCAGCGUCCUUGAUUUUCCAGCUUCAAAGUGAACUGCCUCUGAAGUUGGGGGACAUUCACACCUGCUUUGCUGCAGUUGAUUUCUGCCUUCCUGGCUGCAGACUCAACAAGAAAAUACAUCUGUUGACAUUUUCAAGGCCAUAUUCAUAAACCAGGCAUGGGAAGUUUCUCUUCCACCUUUUCUUUCUAAGGGAAAAUAACAAGGUUUGUGUGUUCAGUGAGAAUUCAACAAUGAAUCCAAUUUAAUGUUUUUACCUUAAAUUCAGAUGCUUUACGAGUCAGGUACUCUAAAUCAUCACCACCACCACUCUUACUUUCUUUCCCUCCAAUUCUCACCUCCUCGCUAAAAGGACAAUCAGAGGACCAGGUCUAGUAAUCACUAGAAGUGUCAGUGUACAAUAUACCUGGAAUGGCUUUUUCCUUUAUUUUUCCUAUCUCGUUCAUCUCCAGAGAAGCUGUGCCAACAGUGGUUAAGAAGUGUAAGCACAGCUCUGCCUCUCAUAUGUUCCCUAAAGCACUUAGCUUCCUAUGAUACCUGGAGAGAGGGCCUUGUUUGUCUACUGGGUGCAAUGAAUAUGAUCUAAAAGUGGAAUUUCCCCCAGCUAAACACAUAUAUUUGCUGCCUCCCCGCCCCAACUUCUCACUGGUCAUCUGAAC